ensembl:snRNA U6 U6 spliceosomal RNA
GUGCUCACUUUGGCAGCACUUACACUAAAAUUGGAAUGGCGCAGAAACUGCUAUAGCCUCUGCACAAAGAUGACAUGCAACUUUGUGAAACAUUACAUAUCUUU